rnacentral:lncRNA from 1 species
UAAGCUCUGCCCAAGAGGGGCAGCAGUUCUCCUUUUCUAGCCCUACAACACUAAACAACCAAGCACCCAUUCCUCUCAAUCCCUCGCCAAGCUUGGCAGGGAAUGUUCCCACCGCUACCUUAUCUAACCAGGACCUUCAAACCAUGGCCCUCCAACUACAGAACACCGCCCACUGGUUGGGGCAGAUAAUGCAACAAAGGGG